rnacentral:ncRNA from 1 species
ACUUAAAAUGGGCAAACCGGCCGAAAGUCCGGGACGCAAAGCCAUUGGGCCUAAGGGUUUCUAAGGUAGCCAGGCUGCUUAA